CAUUAAAACACCGGUUUCCGUAAGAUCACCGAAGUUAAGCAACGUCAGGUCUGGUCACUACCUAAACGGGUGAUAUCUUGGGAAAACCGGGAGUUGUAAG